rnacentral:rRNA from 1 species
UUUAAACUGGGAUNAGAUACCNCUUUAUGCAUAGCCCCGAUGCCCUACAAGUACAAGAUCUUUAGUACUCGCCAGGAGACAACGAGCGCCAUAGCUUAAAACCCAAAGGACUUGGCGGUGCUUUAAACCCCCCUAGAGGAGCCUGUUCUAGAAUCGAUAAUCCCCGUUAAACCUCACCCUCUCUUGUUCUUCCCGCCUAUAUACCGCCGUCGUCAGCUUACCCUGUGAAGGCCUAAUAGUAAGCAAAAUUGGCACAGCCCAAUACGUCAGGUCAACGUGUAGCGUACGAGAGGGGAAGAAAUGGGCUACAUUUACUGAACCAGUAAAUACGGAUCUUGCACUGAAAUAAUGCUUGUGAAGGAGGAUUUAGUAGUAAGAAGAGAAUAGAGGUCUACCGAACGGCCCUAAAGCGCGCACACACCGCCCGUCACCCUCAAAA